GAUGAACGCUAGCUACAGGCUUAACACAUGCAAGUCGAGGGGAAACGAUAUUGGAAGCUUGCUUCUGAUAGGCGUCGACCGGCGCACGGGUGAGUAACGCGUAUCCAACCUGCCCAUCACUUGGGGAUAACCUUGCGAAAGUAAGACUAAUACCCAAUGACGUCUCUAGAAGACAUCUGAAAGAGAUUAAAGAUUUAUCGGUGAUGGAUGGGGAUGCGUCUGAUUAGCUUGUUGGCGGGGUAACGGCCCACCAAGGCGACGAUCAGUAGGGGGUUCUGAGAGGAAGGUCCCCCCACAUUGGAACUGAGACACGGUCCAAACUCCUACGGGAGGCAGCAGUGAGGAAUAUUGGUCAAUGGACGAGAGUCUGAACCAGCCAAGUAGCGUGCAGGAUGACGGCCCUAUGGGUUGUAAACUGCUUUUAUAAGGGAAUAAAGUGGGAGUCGUGACUCUUUUUGCAUGUACCUUAUGAAUAAGGACCGGCUAAUUCCG
rnacentral:rRNA from 1 species